rnacentral:rRNA from 1 species
CUCUCAGUUCGGAUUGGAGUCUGCAACCCGACUCCAUGAAGCUGGAUUCGCUAGUAAUCGCGCAUCAGCCACGGCGCGGUGAAUACGUUCCCGGGCCUUGUACACACCGCCCGUCAAGCCAUGAAAGCCGGGGGUACCUGAAGUGCGUAACCGCAAGGAGCGCCCUAAGGUAAAACUGGUGAUUGGGCUAAGUCGUAACAAGGUAAC